UUUGUUUUCCUUUAGGUGUGCAGCAUGCAGACAGACUGAGACGAUGGCUGGUGAACAUAAGACGACAAGACUGGGAGCCCAGCAAGUCAUCUCAUCUCUGUAGUCUUCAUUUUGAAUACCAUGAAUUCACCAUUGAUACCUAUGGGAAUCGUCUGACUUGCACUGCAGUACCAACUGUGUUCUCCCUUCCUGACCACCUGGUGAAGAGACCUGCUAGUAGAAAGGCAAGUGGUUAUUUUCUUAUCCUUUCUUUGUCAAGUGCUGCAAAUGAGAAGGAAUGUGAAAUGGUGGCUGCUAAUACAUCAGAUCAAAAUGUGGCUUGUCAGUAGUGAGCAGUUACAUUUUUGUGUCACCCAAGACAUUAAAACGAAAGAAUGAUGUCAUGGUUGAGAUUGUGGAGAAAUAUUAAAAGAGGAUGAGAAAGUAAGACGUGUAAAGUAAGUUUCAUGGCAUAACACAAACUUAGAACGUUUUUUAUGUGUUGUCUGUAAUGCUAUACAACUGUAAUACCUCCUGGAAGUUUUGAUUUUAUUUAUGUUUUUUCACAUGGCGGUGGUGGUGCAGGAAGGGGGUAUUUUGUCUUCCGCCUCCCUCCUGCACCACCACCACCAUCACCAGAGCUGAAGGUCUACACCACCACCAUCACCAGAGCUGAAGGUCCACGCCACCAUCGCCAGAGCUGAAGGUCUACACCACCACCAUCACCAGAGCUGAAGGUCCACGCCACCAUCGCCAGAGCUGAAGGUCUACAACGCUGCUGCCACCAGAGCUGAAAUCUCUCUAAGUUAAUGACUAACCCCCCCUCACCCCUUGGCAAACACAAUAAAACAUGGUCAUUUGUGGAUA